CAGAGUUCAUGCCCGAGAGGGUAGACCUCCCACCCUUGUGUAUGUCAAUAUUUUGUUGCUUUGGCGACUCGCCCUCGUGGGCUCGCCAGUGGAUCAUCAAACUCUAUCUUAUCAAUAUCGUCAGAGCAUUAUUAUAAUAGUUA
rnacentral:rRNA from 1 species